rnacentral:lncRNA from 15 species
AUGUACUAUUGUCAGGAUAUAAAGUUUCAGGAAAUACAACAAAAAAAUAUUUUUAGAAAAUUUCCCUACUGCAGCUUUAAGGGAAGCACAUUGUUGGAGAAUAUAAAUAUAAACCUUACCUCCGUGUUGCUGUUGUUGAAAAAAAGAACACGCAGGCACCACUUACUGUCAAAAAAGAUUCCCUUAUACAUUGUGACAGUGUAGGGGCAGAAUUAUGUAUCGGGAGCUCAGUUUACACUGAUAUGUAUAUGUGAUGUUGGUUUUUGUGUUGCUGUUGUUAAAAAAAAGUGCAAUAACUGUGAAGUGAUGCAUAUACAUGCAAGAGUCUGUUUACAUGAGAUAGUUUUACAAAUAAAGUGAACAACAUAUGAACUUAGAAACUGUAUAUAUUUUAAAAAACAACACAUAUAAAGAUAUGUUGUGAAUUCUUUGUGCAGCCUGUCUGGCCACUCUGAAAAGCUGCUUUGCAAAACCUCAUUAUGCACUUGGGGAUAUAACAUGUAAACCAUUAUUUUGCUGGUGUUUUUCUUUCUGUCUUUAAUACAUUCAAUACAUUUUUGUGGGGGUUUAUUACAUAAUUUACUUUCUUCUUGGUCGGGAAGAGAAAUCUGUACAUCCCUGCACCAUGUCUUUGAGAAUGUAAAUGGUGCAGUACAAAGACCAGGGUGGUGUUUGAUGUUUCUAUUCAGUGCAUAUUUUAAGAUAAAUAAAAUGGUUUUCCUAUCUCUCCAGUGCUUGUCUCAUCCACUCUCCACACAUUAAUUAGCAUUGCUUACAGCUAUUUUAGUCAUUUUUACUGAUAUGACUGAUUUGACGUUACAAAACAGACAAAAAUAAGUGUGUGUGUGUGUGUGUGUGUGUGUGUGUGUGUGUGUGUCUGCGUGUGUGUGUGUGUGUGUGUGUGUGUGUGAGGAAAGGCAUAUCAACACUGGAAAAUGAUGAUGUAAGUUAUCACUGCCCAAACUGAAAUACAAUGAAAGUAAAAUCAGGCUGACAAAAUGUGACUAUAUUAUAUGUGAAUGUAGUAUAGAAUUGGCUGGUACGUACUGUAUUACUGUACUGUAAUUGUUAAUACUUCUGACACAUUUGUUAUUUCAAUGGCUUAUUAAAUGACUGUUAUUACACUCCAAUGUGUAUUGUUUUCUUAAGAUCAGUGCUGGUCUAACCAGAAAUGUAAGUUUUAAAAAGACUGAAACCAAGCAGUGCUGCAUCACUGGACCGACCCUCGUUGGUGUGAACCAAAAACUCCCUCCAAAGCUGUGUUGAUAUUGGGUGUAAUAAAGAAAAUUAUGGACAUUGCAUUAUUCUAACACACACAAAAUCAGUUCUAUGAGCUCACUGUUCUGUGUUGCAGUGCCCUCUGGUGGUCGUUAUUUACCCUGUUCUCUGUUGGUCAACAAGCCAGUAUCAACAAAAAUGAGAUUGUAAGGGAAGCAAAUAACCUGGCAGUGUUUUAGCAGCCUCCAAUCACUGCUACAGUUCAUGAGAUAAGAUGAAAACAUAAUACAAGCUAUGUUACUCCAUACAUAACUUAAUAUAACUAACUGAAAAUGCAUUUGGAUGUAUAGUGUAUGUACCUUUUAUUUAUUUAUUUUUUAAAAUCUGUCUUUCCUACUGUGUUUUGGUGCUAUAAGUUAAUGUGGGAGACUGCAAAUACUUGAAAACACAUAAUGAAACUAGUAUUUAGCACGUGCCAUUAACAUGAUUAAACAUGUUUAAAUGGAUCAGUUCAUUUUUUCUGGACAUUUAAAUGUUCUCUAAGAGCCCGUCAGUUAACACAAUUUCCUCACUGUUAAAAAUGCCACACUGGCCCAGGGAGGGAGAGAAGAAAGGUAUACUUCCUCUUUCCAAAAAAACAUUGAGAGACAAGGUGCAUUGUUUCCCCAGAAUCAGACAAGGAAGUGACCUAUGAUUAUCAGAUCUCUGGUUCCUCUUUGUGUUCUGUUUAAACUCACAGCUGUCUCCAGCAGGUCCACAGCCGGACACAAGCUUGUUUUUUUUGGCACACGGACGGACCCAGAGAAGCAGAACAUCCUCUUUAAAGCUCAGGUGCGAACUAAACUUUUCAUUCAUGUUGUAGGAUUUAGGUAAAUGCAAACCAUUCAAGUAACUGCAUUGAAAUGUAGCCGAGUUAGCAGAUUGGCUUCAGAUACUGACUGAAGGAGGAGUGUUUCUGUGUUUGUCUCUGCUCCUAGACUUGGUCAAAGCUCCUCAGUGUUGUAUGGAUACCUGAGAAGUUUUGAACAAGUAUAGGAUCUCUGACUGUCACUGCAUCAGACGGGCUUAAUACAGGGCAAGAAUGACAAAACAAUACUGCAGUGUUAAGCAAGAUGUACUGUAGUACUGUACAUCAAAGUUAAAGGUAAGCCUUCUCACAUGCCAAUACAGUAUUUUAAUGUUUGCAUGACCUUUUAUUACCUUUAAUCACCGGCUUUGCAGCUACAUACAUCCAAUACCUGCAGAUAUCCGUCUAUAUAAAUUGCUUAAAAUAAUAAGAUUAGCCAAAAGACAUUUGAUUCAGAGGAGCUAACAUGAAGAGGAAAAGAUCCAAAAAUUAAACUUGACAUAUCUAACGUAACCAAAAAGCUUUUCUGCACUGAAGUGCAACAUUUUAACCAUGAAUCUUCCUAAAAUCUCAAAAUUCAGAUUAGAAAUCGUUAUCUUUUUAAUGUUUUAGUGUCAAGAUGAAGAAAUAUAAUCAUAUAAUAUGCAGUUCUUUAAGAUAUCGGUCUUCUGUCAAGUUAAAGCAAAACAUCUACAAUUUAAUAAAGACUUUACAGAGAGAUACUGGUGUAGGAUACACUAUACUAUUCUAAACUAAAACUAAUAACUGUAAUACAGUAACAAACUGUGCAUACACUGUGGACUUAGUCUUGAACCCAAAGCACAACAUGAUUCCUUAUUUGGUAGACACGAGGCACAACAAGAGGCAACUGUUUUAUUUUCAUACACAUUGACAAAUGCCGUACAGCUAGACAGAAGGGUGUUAGUGACUAAACCAUACGCCCUCAACAUCACAGACAAGUCAGGAGAACAGUGGAGACAGAAGAAAAGACAUCAUGAAAUACACUAAACAGAUUUUAUCUGUGCUGGCGGAGCAACAGCAUUUGAAACAGACAACUUUCAACUUUGUGCCAACACAACACCCGUGUGUGCGUCUAGCAGUCAAACACCCAACCAUUAGCACAUCGGGAGAAAUACACAUUCAAUAACAAACAAAAUGGUGAAACGCAAAUGACGUACAGUACUGCUGUAUGGAAGACAUUCUCAACACACUUUUUUUCAACAUGUGAAACAGGAAGAAAGCAUAAAAAAACAAAAAAACAACACAAGAACAAAUAAUUGUGCAUUGGCUUAUUAAGUCUAUUUCCCUGAGCAAAAGGCUCAAUCAGCAUAGAAAUACACUACUCCCCCCUACAGAGCAUCACUCUGAAAUGUACUCGGAGAGCAAAACAAGGUGCGCAUUUUCAAAUGUUUCUUUAAGGACACACCACAGCAAUUUCUACACCAACAUUAGGACCACACUGGUGCGGUUUCAUGUUUUUGCCAAUUUACUAAGACCAAAAGCUCAUUUGUUUUUUACAUUACUGCUUUUCUUUUAGUAUCUUCUAUGUAGCCAUCAGUACAAAAACAACUCAAGUAGCCCACUAUGUUGAGUUUUCAAAGUUGUCAUUGUAAAGCAAUGCAUAAAGCAUGGCUCAAGUCCACUUAUCUAGUACAUUCAGGUGCUGGUAUACCCACUAACGUUUCAAGACUUCAAAGUUAGUAGCUGUAAAGCGCCGUAUACAUGAGCCAUACUGUCCAAAAUUCAAACUCACAGGGGCAUGAUAUUAGCAAAUGUGGAAAACCUUAGAAGCAGAUUGACAGCUUGGCUGCUGUUGUGGAAUUAGUGUGGAUUAGUCUCAUUACAACAUAAGCACACUUUCAGUCACAUCGCCAGAUAACAAUACUGUAACUGACUAAAAAAAAAAGAGGUUCACUGUGAUCAGCAACGUAACCAAGUCGAGCUCAUAGCGAACUGAAAUGAAAGAAAACCAACCACUUUAGAGAAACUCACUGAAAACACAAAGAAAAUCUUUGUUCUGCUUUGAAAAACCACCGGCAGUAAUGUUUGGUGUUCAUGGCUUGUAGUUAAUUGGCUAAAACCAAGGUGGUCCUAAUAGCUAUAAAUGUAAUAUAUAUGCAUUGUGAUGGUGUCGGUCACAGUGACCAUCAGGCAGUUAAAUUGAGCACAAUAUUGGACUAAGUGUGUUCAGUCUACUGCUAGAGAUACAGAAUAUAUUAAAGGGGCAGUUCAUCCAAACAACAAAACAAUAAAUAAAAAAUUUCUCACUUACUGCUAUAUGCAACCAUGCAACAAUACAAUGGAAGUGAAUGAUAUUUCAUUUGUGGUGUUCAAAUCUUUUAAAUACUUGCCUGUCCAGAAAUAAUGUCCAAAGCACUAAAGAUAAUCCGCAGAUCUCACUGUGAACAUUGAGGUUUUAAGUCUUUGUGUCAGACUAUUCAGUUUUUUAAACCAAUUAUUAUUUGAUGCUUCGAGCGUCAUAAAUGAAAAUACAUUCACCUCCAUUGUAAUGGAGUUACAGCAGGAAUCUCAAACCCAUAGCAUGAAACCAAAACU